GAUGAACGCUGGCGGCGUGCCUAAUACAUGCAAGUCGAGCGAACAGACGAGGAGCUUGCUCCUCUGACGUUAGCGGCGGACGGGUGAGUAACACGUGGAUAACCUACCUAUAAGACUGGGAUAACUUCGGGAAACCGGAGCUAAUACCGGAUAAUAUAUUGAGCCGCAUGGUUCAAUAGUGAAAGACGGUUUUGCUGUCACUUAUAGAUGGAUCCGCGCCGCAUUAGCUAGUUGGUAAGGUAACGGCUUACCAAGGCAACGAUGCGUAGCCGACCUGAGAGGGGGAUCGGCCACACUGGAACUGAGACACGGUCCAGACUCCUACGGGAGGCAGCAGUAGGGAAUCUUCCGCAAUGGGCGAAAGCCUGACCGAGCAACGCCGCGUGAGUGAUGAAGGUCUUCGGAUCGUAAAACUCUGUUAUUAGGGAAGAACAAAUGUGUAAGUAACUAUGCACGUCUUGACGGUACCUAAACAGAAAGCCACGGCUAACUACGUG
rnacentral:rRNA from 1 species